UUCACUUCGCUUCACAGACCAGCAGACCUCUUUGCUGUCGCUUUCAGUGUUUAUUAUAACAUUUCUGCUGUUUUCUUUUCCAAAAUUAUAUAAACUGCUUUAAUUUGAAACCGUUAAGUGAAAUGGCAAAGAUUAUUUUCUUCUUUUUGAGCUCAUGGAGUGUGAGUGGUGUGUUUGGUGGUGAUGCAGUGAAGUCAGAGUCAGUGACGGAGGGAGAGUCGGUUACUCUAGAAAUUGAUGAUACUACAGAUAAUGAGACACGGUGGAGAUUUGGACACAAGCACAUUCUCAUAGCUCUAAUCAACAGAGAAAAUGGAAAGAGAAACGUUCAUGAUGAUGCUCUUGAUGGGAGAUUCAGAGGCAGACUGCAGCUGGAUCAGACUGGAUCUCUGACCAUCACAGACACCAGAACCACAGACUCUGGACUUUAUGCAGUAAUCGGCAGCAGAACACGGACGCCACUCAACACAUUCAAUCUUACCGUCUAUGCUCGUCUUUCUGUUCCUGUCAUCAGCAGAAACGGUUCAUCACCUUCAUCCUCAGAGCAGAGUUGUUCAUUGUUGUGUUCAGCUGUGAAUGUGAGUCAUGUGAGUGUCUCCUGGUUCAGAGGACACAGUUUAUUGUCCAGCAUCAGUGUGUCUGAUCUCAGCAUCAGUCUCUCUCUACCUCUGGAUGUGGAAUAUCAGGAUAACAACACCUACAGCUGUGUGAUCAACAAUCCCAUCAGCAACCAGACCACACAUCUGGACAUCAGCACACUCUGUCAACCAUGUGCAGAUUCUCCAGUAUCUGAAUCACUGAUUGUACCGGUAUCUGCUGCUGCUGCUGCUGCUGCUGGAUCUCUGUUGAUUGUAGCUGCAGUCAGGAUCUUCUGCAUCUGCAGGAAAAGAGACCAAGCAGUUGAGAGUGGUGAAGAAAUCACAUACGCUGAUCCGACAUUCUACAAAAGAAAAGCACAGAAGUCGAGUGUUCAAGCGCAGGAAGAUGUGGUGUAUGCAGGAGUUGCCAUUAGACACUGAUAAAAAUGUGAUUCUGUUUAAGAGCUGCCAACUUUCUAGAACCCACAGAUCCAAAAAUGGGAGAGAGGGAUUACUGCAUUAGUGCAGAUAUUUUGUGAGUAAUGAUAGAUAUUUUAUGUCACAGGAGACACACACAGACCUUUGAAUAUUGAGAAUAUUAUGCUAAAGGUGUUUUUACAUGAGACAAUGAUAUUUAUUGAACCUAACCCUCACACAAUCCUGUUGACAUGAUUAAAAAAAGUGAGUUCAUCAAUGUUAAUGUGGUAUUAACUGAAAAUUAUUGUAUUUUAUCCCAGGGCUUUUGAGCAGGGUUUUUGUUUUGUGUAUGUUUGUAUUGUUUUCAGAUGUUACUGUAGUAAUGGUGUACAGACAGUCCUGUGUGUCAUAUUUUAAAAUCCAGAUAUGCAAGAUAUAUCUUUCAAAUUCUUCAAACCAUAUUGCUUGAACUGUGUGCCUCCUUUUCUAGUACAUUUUGUAGUAAAUACAAAAGAAAUAAAUAAAAAUAUAUAAUUUCAAGAAUAAUCAUUUGUACUAACAUCCUCUAUUUAUUUAUUUAUUUUUGUUCAUUUUGUUCACAAUAACAUAUUUUUUCUAGGCACAUUUACUGUACUGUAAACUACAAACACUGUAAGUUUAAUCACAGUAACUAUUAAAUGCUGUAUUUUUCUAUUACAGUAAAAAUCACAGUACAGUCAUUCUUGAGAAAUGGGACAAAACAGGGUGCAAAAUUGAAAAAAUAAAACCUUGUACAAAUUAAACUACAUUUAUGUAUCUUGAACUCAUGAAAUCACUUAUUAAGCACAGAAAGAAUUGAUGAUGAGUGUCUGUUGGUACUUCUGCUUCUGCUUCUUCUGUUUUAUUUUUUAAUAAUGAAAUGCCUUUAACUGAAAAUUGAGUGUUUAAUCUUGUCAUUUUACAUUAUUGACACUAUUUUCCUAUUUUCCUAUUGUAAAGUAGCUUUGACAAAAUCUGUAUUGUUAAAAGCGCUAUAUAAUUAAAGGUGACUUGACUUGACUUUUUUAUUUUUUAAAACAAAGAUCCAGUUUUGAUCUGCAAACAUGCACAUCUCUUAUAAUAAGACCUCAUUUCAAUGCAUUUAUUUAUUUGUGUGUGUGUGUAAUAAAGAUUUAAAUUUUAAUAAAAUUGGUUCAGUCAUCCUUAAGAACCAUUCUAAACUUUUCUGAGAAAUUCCUGUUCUUGAUUGUUCUCUAGACGGGACAGAUGCAGUGUCGUCAGUGUCAGUGAUGGAGGGAGAUUCUGUCGCUCUAAACACUGGUGUUACUGAAGUACAGAACUAUUAUCUGAUUCACUGGGUGUUUAGAGAAACUCGAAUAGCUGAAAUCAGCAGGUUUUCUCAAAGCAGCUCCAUAUAUGACACUGAUGAUGAUAAAACACUCAGAGACAGACUGCAGCUGGACCCUCAGACUGGAUCUCUGACCAUCACAAACACCAGAACCACAGACUCUGGACUCUAUCAACUAAUACUCACCAGUGAAGAGACCAGAUCCCAGAGUUUCAGUGUCACAGUCUCUGAAAGCUCAAGUGGAGGAGGAUGUGGUGUAUGCUGGAGUCGCUGUGAGACGCUGAUCAAACUCAGUCUGUUUAAGGGUUACCAUUUGUCUGGAACCCAAAUACACUUAGAUGUUUUUAAGAUUAUCUUAAGAAGUAAUAAAGAACAAUUUUUAGUAUAUUAAGUACAAAAUUACUGCAUGAAAAUAGAGCACUUUAAGCACAUAAUGUAAGUGUUUUUUUGUUUUUUGUUUUUCUCCUGGGAACUCACACACAGACCUUUGAAUAUUGAGGAUCUCAUGGUCUCCAUGCUAAGAUAAUCCCCCGGUUUCACAGACAAGGCUUAAACCUAGUCCUAGACUAAAAUGUAAAUCUGAUCUGUUUCAACUGAAAGAAACUUGCAAUGACUGAUCUUAAAAUAUAUCAGUGCCUUUGUUUUAUCUCAGGAUAUGCACCAGUAAUGUUUUUUUCCUAAGCACGUUUAUAAAAAAAAAAACUUAAAUGUCCUAAUUGAACUAUGGCCUAAUCCUGGUUUAGUCUAAGCCCACUCUGUGAAACCGGGCCAAUGCUAUUUAGUAGUCACUUGACAUCAUUCAAAAAAGCAUUUUUUAAAGUGUGGUAUUUGAUUAUAAUGUGUCAUGAAUGGAUUUUAUCUCAGGGCUUUUGAGCAGUGCUGUUGUUUUGUGCACAUUUGUAUUGUUUUCAGAUGUUACUGUAGACACUACAGUUCAGUGUUAUGUUCUUUAAUAACAGCUUUCUCUGUCUGUAACAUAUUUUACAGCAUUGUUUCUCAACUCUGGCCCUCAAGGUCCACUUUCCUGCAGAGUUUAGCUCCAGCCCUGAUUAAAUUCACCUGCCUGAAACUUUUUCAGUAUUCCUGAAGAGCUUGCUGAGCUUGCUCAGGUGUGUUUGAUUAGUGUUGGAGCUAAACUCCAACAUAAACUAUAGACACGUAUAUUCUUCUGCUUCAUUAUUGUGAUCUGGGACAAACACCAACCCAACACGUGACUUUUUAAUAUUCCUCAGUUAUAAGUCUCUUUGGAUAAAAGCUUCAGCUAAAUGAAUAAAU